GAUGAACGCUGGCGGCGUGCUUAACACAUGCAAGUCGAACGGAAAGGCCACUUUCGGGGGGUUCUCGAGUGGCGUACGGGUGCGUAAGACGUGAGUAACCUGCCCUUGCCUGUGGGUUAACUUGCGUUAACUGGGCGUAAUUAAGACUAGUAGCUCCUGCUACCCGGUGGGGGCUGGAGAGUUUCGGGGGUUGGGUAUCGACUAUCGACGUAUCAGCGUGUUGUUAGCUUGUUGGCUUACUAAGGCGUUGACGGGUAGCCGGCCUGUAGGGGUGACCGGCCACAUUGGGACUGAGACACGGCGCAGACGCCGACGGGAGGCAGCAGUGGGGAAUAUUGCACAAUGGGUGCAAGGCUGAUGCAGCAACGCCGUGUGCGGGAGGACUGACUUCGGGUUGUAAACCGAUUUCGCUCAUGACGAAGCACUGUGUGACGGUAGUGGAUAAAGAAGCACCGGCUAACUACGUG
rnacentral:rRNA from 1 species